ACACCCAUGUCUUUUGCGCACUUGUUGUUUCCUGGGCGGGUUCGCCCGCCACCAGGACCAAACCAUAAACCUUUUUUUUAUGCAGUUGCAAUCAGCGUCAGUAUAAACAAUGUAAUUAUUACAACUUUCAACAACGGAUCUCUUGGUUCUGGCAUCGAUGAAGAACGCAGCGAAAUGCGAUACGUAGUGUGAAUUGCAGAAUUCAGUGAAUCAUCGAAUCUUUGAACGCACAUUGCGCCCUUUGGUAUUCCAAAGGGCAUGCCUGUUCGAGCGUCAUUUGUACCCUCAAGCUUUGCUUGGUGUUGGGCGUUUUUGUCUCCCUCUUUGCUGGGAGACUCGCCUUAAAACGAUUGGCAGCCGGCCUACUGGUUUCGGAGCGCAGCACAUAUUUUGCACUCUGUAUCAGGAGAAAAGGACGGUAAUCCAUCAAGACUCUUACGAUUUUUAACUUUUGACCUCGGAUCAGGUAGGGAUACCCGCUGAACUUAAGCAUAUCAU
rnacentral:rRNA from 1 species